GCCUUACAGUAUGAACUGCCGGUACUGGUUCUGAACCUGAACAACCGUUACCUGGGGAUGGUGAAACAGUGGCAGGAUAUGAUCUAUUCCGGUCGCCAUUCUCAGUCUUAUAUGCAGUCGUUACCGGAUUUUGUGCGCCUGGCGGAAGCAUAUGGCCAUGUUGGGCUGCAGAUUAACCGUCCGGAUGAGCUGGAAAGUAAACUCAGCGAAGCCCUUGAGCAUGUGCAUAAUAACCGACUGGUGUUCGUCGAUGUCACCGUUGAUGGCAGCGAGCAUGUCUAUCCGAUGCAGAUU
rnacentral:misc_RNA from 1 species